UGGGGAGGCUGCCCGAGAGGAGGGCUUUGACCUGCGCCCCCUGGACCGGAAUGGCGCCAUUCCCUGAGAAGCUCCCUCUGGGAGAAUGAAUUUCUCUCGAAGUUCAAGAACACCAUAUUUACUUACAGGCAAUUUCCAGGAGAAAAGCAAAGUACUAUUCUGGGCCAGAGGGGAUGAUGGGGAAGAUCAAGGCAGGUUAGAGAAGCAAAGCCAUUCCCAACAAGUGGAGGAGUAGUAGUGCGAGGAAGCCAAGAAAAACCGCCAACCUAUCGGAGACUGACUGGCAAUCGAAGAGCUGGAAUCAGAGCGUUUUAUUUUACUUCCCGGGUGGUGAACUAGAAUAAAGAAAAUACAUAUAUACAAAGAAAAGAUAGAGCAGGAAAAACAAACAGCAGUGGGGGUCAAGGAGGAGGAGGAGGAGGAGGAGGAAAAAGGCAAGGAGAAGUCUCUUACACACUGGCUGGCAUGCAGGGCAGCCAUUUUAGAGGAAAAAUGGAAAGGGUACGAGAAGAGAGCUCAGCCCACAGAUGUGAAGAGGUGGGUGGGAGGGUGGGGGCUCUGAUCGAUUCUACUUCUCCCCCCCACCCAACAUGUGAGUGUUACAUAGGAAGUCCUAGUCAAGUACUUAUUGGUACUUAUGCUGACAUUCAGGAUGGACUAGGGUCUGCCCAAGAUAUCAUGAUGGUGUUUGCAACAGAGAACCUCACUGGCACUUCUCUCCCACUCAUCAACACAGGUCACCCUCCUCAAGAAGUCCUUGGCUAGGCUGAUCUUUUGACUGACCUCAAAAAGACUUCCUGCUGGGCUGGGCUGUGCUCCAUGGGUGGUCCUGGCCCACUCACUUUUAAUGGCAGACACCUCACAGCCUUACACUGGGGGAGGUUAAGAGCCCCAUGUUUGUUAAGAAUCACUCUCCAUUUCUUACCUCUGCAAGGAUCGUUCUUCACUAAAAACUCAUCCAGGGCCAUCCAUCCUCCACCAACGCGAACCAUGACUGUGCUACGCAGGAUACGGACCAGCCGCAGUUGCUGCGAAU